GCCGGUGUAGCUCAGAGGAUAGAGCAGUGGUUUCCUAAACCAUGUGCCGCAGGUUCGACUCCUGUCACUGGCG
rnacentral:tRNA from 1 species